GGGUCAGUAGGUUGGUCGUGCCACCGGUACGUACUGGUCUCACUGAUUCCUCCUUCCUGAAGAACCGUAAUGCCGUUCAUUUGGUGUUGCGGGGAAACAGGACUGUUACUUUGAAAAAAUUAGAGUGUUUAAAGCAAGCUAACGCUUGAAUACAUUAGCAUGGAAUAAUGAAAUAGGACGAUCGAUCCUAUUUUGUCGGUUUCUAGGAUUGACGUA
rnacentral:rRNA from 1 species